rnacentral:rRNA from 1 species
UUUAAAGUCUAACCUGCCCAAUGAGGAGUUGAAUGGCCGCGGUAAUUUGACCGUGCAAAGGUAGCAUAAUCAUUAGUUUUUUAAUUGAAAGCUGGAAUGAACGGUUGGACGAGAAAAUAACUGUCUCAAUUUAAUUGAAUGUAGAAUUUUAUUUAUAAGUAAAAAAGCUUAUAUGAGCUUAAAAGACGAGAAGACCCUAUAGAGUUUUAUAGUUUAUUAUAUUAAUUAGUUUUAGUAUAUUUAUAUUUUUAAUAUAGUAACUUAUUUUGCUGGGGCAGCAGAAAAAUUGAUUAAACUUUUUUUUAUCAUUUACAUUAAUUUAUGAUUUAGUGAUCCAUUAUUUAUGAUUAUAAGAUUAAAUUACCUUAGGGAUAACAGCGUAAUUUUUUUUUAGAGUUCUUAUCGAAAAAAGAGUUUGCGACCUCGAUGUUGGAUUAAAAUUAACUUUUGGUGCAGGAGCUAAAAGGUUAGGUCUGUUCGACCUUUAAAAUUUUACAUGAUCUGAGUUUAAACCGGCGUGAGCCAGGUUGGUUUCUAUCUUUAAAUAAAUUAAAUAUCUUAGUACGAAAGGAUUAGGUAUUUUUAAAAUUUAAUAUAAUUUGAAUAUGAUUAUUA